AUCCAUCCGAUUCUAUAAUAGACUUUGGAAGAGUGCGGAACCCGAAAGUUUACCCAGGAGUCAGUCGCCAGCUGCUACUCGUGGCGAAAUCACGCUUUCUUCUGACUAUCGCAGACCCAGUUUCCCCCUUGAAUAAACCGCUAACGUCCGAUCGGAUCCCAGUGCCUUGGAACCUUCAUUAAAAAGGGAAAAGAUACAGGAUCGAAGCAAGGCCUACUCUAAGCGGUGGGCGACCCACUCACGGUUGAAUUAUAAACAACCUUUGAAUAAAUUCUUGUACAGGGGAUUUACGCAGUAACGAUCAGCUUCUAAGCCGAAACGAUUCGGUGCAGUGCAGCGGCUCAAGGGUAUGGCGAUAGACAUCAAGCUUUCCAAAUUCAAUAACAUCCCAUGGGGAUUCCGGCUUUCCGGUGGAGCGGAUUUUCCCCAUCCACUCACGGUUGUCAGGGUGGCCCGGGGAAGUUUGGCCGACGAUGCCGGGCUGCAGCCAGGUGACGUCCUGAUAAGAGUCAACGACAGUCCUCUGCAGAAUCUGACACACGCACAGGCACACGAUUGGCUGGUGCGAGCCGGUAACAACUUCGUUCUCUCCGUCGUCCGCAAUCAUCGCAUCGCCAAAGAGGCCCAUUGACCUCCGGCCAUUCCUGAUCGUAAUUCUUGUCCGACCUCUCGUUCAGCUUUUCGAGACGGUCUCGGGAUGGAUUUAUAUUUUCCAAUGCUACAAGGGUACGAGACUCGAAAUGAGAAAAUAAUUCCCGGAUGGCGAUGUUGGGUAUUCAGAAAACCCCGCGCGGGUCGCAAAUAUUUUUAUAGUUAUGAUAUAAAGUGACUUUAUAGGAAGAUAAAAAAAAUAUAUUGCUAUAUACUUUUUCACUGUACGUAUUGUAGUUUGAUUCGUGUUCUAUAAUUCGUAAUUAGGUAGAUACGCAAUUAAUGUUGACAUCCUGUCUGUGAAUUGAGCGGGUCACAUAUUAUAAUGAACACGCCCGUAUUUUUCCAUAUCUCGUUCUGCGUGAAGAACGCAGAAUUUCCGUAUCAAUUGCAAUGAUCGUUUGAGCGAAUAUCCAGAUACGGAUUUGUUUGUGCAAUUAACGAUUUGCAGUUGACAAUAUUCGAUAUUCGCUGGUAGUGACUGAGCCAUUUAUUGACUGUCAUACUUUGAUGAUAAGUACCAUAAUUACGGUGACUGAUCUUGAUAACCCGCAUUAAAAUAACCCGUACAAAAAUAACCGGGCAUAAAUAACCCAACCACAAAUAAUCCGUGAUAAAAAAUUGACAAACAAUUAAAUUAUAUUAAUAUUAAAUUGAAUUUCACAAGUAUUGAUAUUUUUGUUCGAUCUAUUUGGUCCCAGUACUGAUAAUUACCGACCAACGGCUCAAAAAAUCGAUAUGUUGCAUUUUAAAUAUUUCAUUCAAAAAAUUAGGUAACGGAAAAAUACUGGAGGCCGGUGACAGCCGUACCGUAAACAUGGCUAUACAGAACAAGCUUAGGGGGUGCGCUGGUCGAUUUCGACGUGACAUAUACAUAUAUCGCCGGAUAUUGCAGUCGACGUAUCUCAAACGCGUGAAAGGGUUCAACAGUCCCACUCCAUAAGCAAUUAUGAACAAAAACAUUCCAAUAUAUUUUCAUUCGACGCAGAAAUAAAGAAACUGCAUGGAUUCUACUAAUUUAAUAUUGCAAGCAAUUUCGUAGAAAGCACGCCGUUUCUUUACUUCUGCGUCGAAUGAAAAUGUAUUGGAAUUUUUUCGUUCACAAUUGCUCAUAGAGUUGGACUGAGGAACCCUUUUACGCGGUUGAAAUACGUAGACUUCGAUAUUUGGCGAAUAUAUACGUCAACGUCAAAAUCGACCAGGGCACCCCACUAGUCAUGUUUACGGUACGACCAGGGGGCACCCUCUUAAGCUUGACUUCAUUUUCCUUCUAUUGGUUGAAGAAACUCCUUUUAUGCGCUUAAGAUUUGUUGAUAUUACGUUCGUUCAAUAUGGGCCGGGGAUUCAGCGCAGAGUGCGAGCUUGGGAGAUAAGGGAUCCGUUGUUGCAUUUCAUUUGCUUGAAUUAAGAUCCGUUGAGUGAUAGAUCUAUAAUGUGCAGUUGGUAUACGUAGGCAUUCAGCUACUGUCAGUAUAUCCUACGUGUACGAAAGAGCGUGCGCAAUUCGCAGCAAAAGAUUUUCUUUGAAAUCACUUACAGCCAUAUGGAUAAAAAAAAAAAAAAAAAAAACAGUGUGAGCGAGGUUGUAAAAAAUUUU